GGGGAGCUGUGACGUCAAUGAAGUGAGUUAGUGAGAUAUUUAACGUUUCUUCUUCAUUAUGGAGAAUGACUAGUUCUGAAAACGAACGUUUCUCCGUCUCAUCAUUUUACCCUAUUCAUUCAGAAGAUGUAUGGUGACUCGCGUUUGGCUGAACGGACCAACGGGACUGACAUGGGCAAGUCCCUUGACGGGUACCAGGAAUGGUGAGAGGACAAUCUGAAGGUCACUGAUACACCACCUGAUGUGGUGGAAGUUGUCAAACCAGAUCAGAACCCCUUCAAAGAAGGAUGCGGAGGUUUUUGACCAGGUGAGACUGAACAUGGACAGGGUGCAUGAGAAGGAGGAGAUCCACCUGAGAAGAAUCAAGGGGAUCAAGUGCUUUGACAUCUGGGUGAAUGACUUAGCUUGGAAGAAGGAUGAAAGGAAGGAGAGACCCAGGAAAGCUUGGUGCUAUUUCGCUUCUAGUUGGGGUCAACAUCCGUUAAGGACCUAGGGGUUCUGCUUAACACCCAGACAUGGAUCCACCUGAUGUCCUCCAUUACCUUCCAACUUUUCAUUACAUCAGCUACUGUUAUUGUCAUGUUGUCAUUGUCUGCUAAGAAUAAGCAAGAAAACUAUCAUACUGGGCACAUAAUGUGAGCUGCACAGAUCAGCUAAAAACGCUAGCACUGCAAACACUCAGAACAAGAGGGCAGCAGCACCUGGACUUUGCAGUUUCCCUCUUUCUAGUCCACUACCUAUUGGAAAAAUAAGUGACAGGCAGAACCUGCCAUCCUCACAAUACCCACCCCCUCUCUAAUCCACACUCCAGAAUUCUGUAUUUCAGUCUGAUUGCCAUGUGACAAUGUACUUUCAGAUUUUUUUGUACACUCACAAGUACCAAAACAAUGGUUAUGUAUUUAAAUCUCAAAUAUUGCUAGAUUGGUUUUCACAGCUGUUUCAUAAGGUAUUCGUUAUUAUAAAUUGUAAAGUAUUCCUUGAUGAUAUUUGUUAGCUCAACGGUAUUAAUUGUAUGAGACAUACAAUUAAUAUAUAUUCAACCACAAGGGUGCACUAAUGAGCUAUGAUUUUUUUUAAAUCGUAAUUGGGGACUCAAAUUAUUUCAGUGUAGAUAAGGGAAUGCCUGUUUAAAAUGAAAACAUGCCAGCCAGACAAGCCCGUGUAUGAAUAAAAUGUAUUUGCAUAUGAA